rnacentral:rRNA from 1 species
UACGGAGGGGCUAGCGUUGUUCGGAAUUACUGGGCGUAAAGCGCACGUAGGCGGCUUUGCAAGUCAGAGGUGAAAGCCCGGGGCUCAACCCCGGAAUUGCCUUUGAGACUGCAUCGCUAGAAUUGUGGAGAGGUAAGUGGAAUUCCGAGUGUAGAGGUGAAAUUCGUAGAUAUUCGGAAGAACACCAGUGGCGAAGGCGACUUACUGGACACAUAUUGACGCUGAGGUGCGAAAGCGUGGGAGCAACAGGG